UGUCGGGGAACCUUUUUCCUCGUCUUCUUCCUGCAGACAGCACAAGGGAUCGGGGGGGCGGACGAUCCUCGGCCUUCUUCUCUUCUUCUCUCUCUCAGGGGGAACUGAAAAAAAAAAAAACAAACUCUCAGCUCACGUUCUCUCUCCCUCUCGAUUUUCGAUGGACGGGGAAACCUCAGCUCCGACUCCCAUUCGCCCUCAGCUCCCACGAUCCGGACGCCCAUAGCUCGGAACCCACCCUUUUUUUUUUCCCGGCCGAACUCAAGACCUUCGGCCCCCCGAAACCCCAAGCUCGUGAACGCCUGCAACUCCCAACCGAUCCCGUAGCUCCUCCCACCGCUCGACUCCCCGGCUCUCUCUUCCUCCAGCUCCCCUCUCGCCGCCGCGUCUAGCCGUCAUGGCUGCCCGGACCACCCCUCUCUUUCUCUCCAUUUUCGUUUUUUUUUCUUUCUUCUAAUCGGGUCCAAAUCUCCGUUGGACAGACACGCCCAGCAGCCCAACUAGCGGCCUGGUCCAGCGGCACCGGCCCAGUCCAGCAGCGGCCCAGCCCGCCAGCCGCGGCCCAGCCCACAUCUGGUCCAAUUCAAACUCCAGCAGCCCAUUCGGCCCAGUUCGGCCCGUCACGGCCCGGCCCAACUCGUCCAGCAUUUUUUGUUUUUACAGAAUCAUCCCUCAACUUCCCGCUAGGAGAUCCAUGCCAUCCUCCAACCCGGCUUCGACAAACAGUCCGUUGAGUCGGCCUGCGUGCCACUUGAGUCUUUUCUAUUUCAAGAGCGAUGUAUCUUGUAAUUUGUAUUAAGCCGUGGGCAUUCACUUUUUUUUCACACACGCAUCAUCUGUUUUACAAAAUUAGGAUGUCAUUCAUAUGGAAGAGUCCUAAGUCAGUCUUCCUUUCGUCUUGGAAAGAGACGUCUUGCUCGGUCUCUUGUUCGUACCUCGACAAAGUCCGUCAAUACACGAUGUUCCCACCGAAUCUCCACAAACCAAGACCGGUACACCUGCCAGGACACCCCCCACUUCAGGCACAUCCACCAUAGUCGACUUCACCAACAACAGGAUCGAUCACCUUCGUCGGUCAGCUGCUGAGAAAGAUGUGGAACUGGUCAGCCAACCAUAAUCUCAGAGGGAGCUUACUCCGACCCAUGCCAAACUACAAAAAUGCAAUCAGGAGCUCGCUUAAACUCCGAGUGUGGUGGAAGACUGGCUUAGGGCUUUAUUUUACAAAAUUUACAUUGUACUUUGAUCGUUUUGAGUCAAUGUGAAUGGCGGCAUUAGUUUUGAAAAA